rnacentral:rRNA from 1 species
ACUCCUACGGGAGGCAGCAGUGGGGAAUAUUGCACAAUGGGCGCAAGCCUGAUGCAGCCAUGCCGCGUGUAUGAAGAAGGCCUUCGGGUUGUAAAGUACUUUCAGCAGUGAGGAAGGUAGUGUAGUUAAUAGCUGCAUUAUUUGACGUUAGCUGCAGAAGAAGCACCGGCUAACUCCGUGCCAGCAGCCGCGGUAAUACGGAGGGUGCGAGCGUUAUCCGGAUUUAUUGGGUUUAAAGGGUCCGUAGGCGGAUUAAUAAGUCAGUGGUGAAAUCCCAUCGCUUAACGAUGGAACUGCCAUUGAUACUGUUAGUCUUGAAUGAGGGUGCAGUGGUUGGAAUGUGUAGUGUAGCGGUGAAAUGCAUAGAUAUUACACAGAACACCGAUUGCGAAGGCAGAUCACUAACCCUAAAUUGACGCUGAGGGACGAAAGCGUGGGGGAGCGAACAGGAUUAGAUACCCGUGUAGGCUCUG